UACGAAGGGUGCAAGCGUUACUCGGAAUUACUGGGCGUAAAGCGUGCGUAGGUGGUUUGUUAAGUCUGAUGUGAAAGCCCCUGGGCUCAACCUGGGGAAUUGCAUUGGAUACUGGCAGGCUAGAGUGCGGUAGAGGAUGGCGGAAUUCCCGGUGUAGCAGUGAAAUGCGUAGAGAUCGGGAGGAACAUCUGUGGCGAAGGCGGCCAUCUGGACCAGCACUGACACUGAGGCACGAAAGCGUGGGGAGCAAACAGG
rnacentral:rRNA from 1 species